AUCUAAUUUAAAAACUGUGUUGGAUAACCCUGCCUGUCAGACAAGUUAGCCGACAUGGCUUAAAUUAAAACAUAGGGAUAAAAUGCAAGUGCUGUCUAUUAAGAAGCGCUAUGAAUAACGAAAACCUGAUGUGAAAAACGUGUCUAAACUGACAUCGGACUCGGACUUCUUUUAAAAUGAGUUUUACUGUGUGUAUGCUUC
rnacentral:lncRNA from 1 species